CACAAACCAGCGGCAAACUUGUAGGUUCUAAGCACUGGCUCUUACCCCAGGCAGCGGGAACAACGACCUUCCAGAGACAGUGAACUGGCCAGGCCCCCCAAUGAAGGUCUCUGGGAAAAUCACAGGCUUUGAUCCUCUUUCAUAACUGGGAAGCUUCACACAAAAGCUCUUUAGCCUCAGCCAAGGGAGUCAACAGUGAGCUUCUACCCAUUCACCUGUAAUCCCAGUGCAAUCGAUUGAGGCGAGAUUGCUGUGAGUUUGGGCCAUUCUGGGCUACACAGUGAGACUCUGUCUCAAAACAAACUAAUGAAGGAAUACUUAAGAGAAUACUGCUGAUUACCACUAGUGGCCUUCCUGGCAGAUAACUAUUCAACUCACACCUCUCCUGUAGGAGCAAGAGAGGCCCUGCCAGCCAGGGAGAGAGGGACAGCUGCAAGUCCGCUCCCGGCAUUGCCUCCAAGUAUGUAUGAGCUGCAAACUCCACGAACAAAUAAAUACACAUGCUGUUGGGAUAAUUUCAAGA